rnacentral:rRNA from 1 species
CCUACGGGAGGCAGCAGUAGGGAAUCUUCCACAAUGGGCGCAAGCCUGAUGGAGCAACACCGCGUGAGUGAAGAAGGGUUUCGGCUCGUAAAACUCUGUUGUUAAAGAAGAACGUAUCUAAGAGUAACUGCUUAGGUAGUGACGGUAUUUAACCAGAAAGCCACGGCUAACUACGUGCCAGCAGCCGCGGUAAUACGUAGGUGGCAAGCGUUAUCCGGAUUUAUUGGGCGUAAAGCGAGCGCAGGCGGUUUUUUAAGUCU